AAAAUCUUAAGUUAUAAACUAUUAACCUUCAAAGUUAAAAAAACCAAAAGUAGAUUUUA
rnacentral:tRNA from 1 species